rnacentral:lncRNA from 1 species
AUACCAGAAGGGGAAAAAAAUCAGAAGUAUUGAGAGACUUGACAGUAUCUUUGGUUGGGUGCGAAUGAAGACUGAUAAGGAUGCUAGGGAAAUGAUGUUCGAUCGAGACGACAUCAAUUUGAUCAGAAGUAUUGAGAGACUUGACAGUAUCUUUGGUUGGGUGCGAAUGAAGACUGAUAAGGAUGCUAGGGAAAUGAUGUUCGAUCGAGACGACAUCAAUUUGAUUGUUGUAAUCAGUUAGAAAUAUUUAUGUUUUCAGAUAGCUUAUUUUGUACUGAUGUUUGUUAUGAACCUCGUUGUAACAAAAACUUAAUGAUAUAUAAGGAUUGAAGGU